UGCAGAAAUCCAUAUCAUUCCAAAGGGUUCACAUACUUUUUCUUGCAUCUGUUGACAUUAUAGUUGCGCAGGCACUUUGUUGACUCUAGAGAACUUCGGGCCAAUCGCACAUCCCCGUGACGGCGACUUUGCAUGCGGAUGUCAUCCAUAUCAACUUUCGGUGCCAGUUUCUGCGACUACCAUGGUGACCAUGGGUAAGGGGAAUCAGGGUUCCACUCCAUACAGGGACCCUGAAAAAUGGCUACCACAUGCAAGGAAGGCAGCAGGCGCGCAAAUGACCCACUCAAGACACGGGAAGGCAGUGACG